rnacentral:rRNA from 1 species
UACGUAGGGGGGCGAGCGUUGUCCGGAAUUAUUGGGCGUAAAGAGCGUGUAGGCUGUUCGGUAAGUCUGCCGUGAAAACCUGAGGCUCAACCUCGGGCGUGCGGUGGAUACUGCCGGGCUAGAGGACGGUAGAGGCGAGUGGAAUUCCCGGUGUAGCGGUGAAAUGCGCAGAUAUCGGGAGGAACACCGGUGGCGAAGGCGGAUCUCUGGGCCUUACCUGACGCUGAGGCGCGAAAGCUAGGGGGAGCGAACAGG